CAGGGCUGAGCUCCGGGGCUGGCGGGGUUUACAGGCUGGGAAAUGAAGAGAUCAGGAAAGAAGGCGCAGGAGCAGCUGCGAGGGAGGCAGAGAACAGGCAGGGUGAGCUUCCUGGAGGAGCCUCCUGACUACAUUGGUCUUACCUGGAUAAUCCAAGAUACUCUCCCCAUCUGAAGAUCCCUCAUCAAACUGCAUCUGCAAACCCCAUUUUGCAGGCCUGGAAAUGGAGAUGAGGACAGCCUGGCCUCAGUCUCCCCACUUGCAAUGUGGGGGAUCCCCAUGUGCCUUGCACCCCCUGAGAGCUCCAGGCUUAGGAGGAGACCAAGGUGAGCCCUGCUUCUAGCCAGAAACCCCAAAGCCCUAACCCCCAGAGCUGGGUAGCUGCAGGGCCCAGGCUACUGCCCCUCCAGGGAUGGACAGG